rnacentral:tRNA from 1 species
GUGGGGAUAGCUCAGUUGAGAGAGCGUCGGACUAAAGAUCUGAAGGUCACGUGUUCAAUCCAUAUUCACCACA